UACGUAGGGGGCAAGCGUUGUCCGGAUUUAUUGGGCGUAAAGAGCUCGUAGGCGGUUUGGUAAGUCUGGUGUGAAAUCUCCACGCUCAACGUGGAGGGGCCACCCGAUACUGCCAUGACUGGAGUCCGGUAGAGGAGUGUGGAAUUCCCGGUGUAGCGGUGAAAUGCGCAGAUAUCGGGAGGAACACCGGUGGCGAAGGCGGUUCUCUGGGCAUU
rnacentral:rRNA from 1 species